GGCGUAGCUCAGGUGGAAGAGCGACUGACUUGUAAUCAGUAGGUCAUGGGUUCGAUUCCCAUCGCCG
rnacentral:tRNA from 1 species